CCUCUUCUCGUGCCCUCCAUAACCAGCUGCUCACACCUCCGCAGAGGCUUAGAUUGAUGAGAAGAAAUCACCAAACAUUUUUGCCUCUUCUGGGGUGCAGGUGAUUAGCAUACUACGCGAACCAAUAUUAAGGUCAAAUGUAUCAUGUGCUGAGAAAAUAUGCAGUCGUAGACGUUGAGAAAUAUGUGCUCAGCUCAGUUUGACUGAGCUCAAUUCUUGUGCUGCUCGGCUCAUCUCCUUAUGUGGAGGCCACGCACUAUGUUCAGAUCUUAACAUUCUUUCGAUACCCUUUCCUCAGAUCAGGCAAGUCCAGGCUCGGCUAGAGAUAUUAAGAAGGAAGCUCAGAACACUGUUUAGUACUUGCACUCAAGCUUUGCCUGAAAUGUCUGUUGAUGUACUCGCUCAAUUUUGAGAUAUAAAUUUUCUUUUAUAAGUCAACUCGGCAUAGUGAGUUACGUUGUUACUUGCACUCAGACUCCUCAACAUUGUAUUCAGAACAGAAAUGAAUGAAAUAGUGUUCCUUCGUUCUUUCGAAUAUCUUAACAGCAGAUGAGCAUAGAAAAUACGGAAAAGGGCCUGAUAUGCCCCUCUACUAUGGUAUAUUGUUCAAAAUACUGUCCCCCGUUAUACUUUCCGUACCUAAAAACCCUUACCGUCCAACAAAGUAGUAUAUUUGUCCCUAUUUUAACGGCUGGGAUACGUGACACUCUUUGAAAGACCAAGACACUCCACUUCACUAAAUAAAUCCAACCCGCCCCAGUUCCCUUGCCCCGCCCGACUAAAUAAACCCAUAAAUAAAAAACCCACCGUAAAAACACAAACAAAACAUCAAAAUUCUAGGGUUUCUUCGUCGCUCCCUUGUUUAGUAUUCAGCUGGUCAGAAACUGCUUUACGAUGUCGGGAAAUAGCUGUUUGUCGAAGAAGAUCUGCCGUUGUGGGGAAGUUGCUAAUCACUUUACUUCAAAAACUCUCUUAAACCCCAAUAGAAGAUUUUACAAAUGUCCUAAACCUGAGAGUGAAUGAUGUGGGUUUUGGGAAUGGCAUGAUGAAGAGUUUCCUGAUGCUGCGUUAAUUGUAAUUAACAAUGUAAGAUUAGAAGCUACAAAUCGCGAGAUUAAGAUGUUGAAUGUUUCGUUGGAAGCUCUUAAGGUUGAAAGAGACGGGCUGACUGAAAAGUUUGAACUCAUAGAGGCUAUGAAGAAUUUUGAAGUUAAAAGAAAUAUGGAAUUGGAAGCAAAAGUGGUGAAGUUGAAGAUGACCAUCACAAUUUUAUGCUCGCUAAUAGUUGGAUUUGCAUUAUCCUCUAUAAUGAAGUGAAAUUAUGUUGAAUUUUUUUUUGUAGAAGGGAAUGUUGUAUCUGCAGUUUCCAUGAAUAUUGGUAGUUAGUCUUAGAUGUUUAAUGGUUGAAUUUUUAUUGUAAUGACAUUGUUAAGUUAAUGAUUAUUGGCAAUUUGUUUAUGA